rnacentral:rRNA from 1 species
UACGUAGGUGGCAAGCGUUGUCCGGAUUUACUGGGCGUAAAGAGCGCGCAGGCGGCUGGUCAAGUCCGAUGUGAAAUCUCCCGGCUCAACUGGGAAACUGCAUCGGAAACUGAUCGGCUUGAAGGUGGGAGGAGGUAGUGGAAUUCCCGGUGUAGUGGUGAAAUGCGUAGAUGAUCGGGAGGAACACCAGUGGGCGAAGGCGACUACCCUGGCCCAUUCUUGACGCUGAGGCGACGAAAGGCUAGGGGGAGCGAACGGG